AUUUUUUAACGGCCGCGGUACUCUGACCGUGCAAAGGUAGCAUAAUCAUUUGCCUUAUAAUUGAAGGCUAGUAUGAAUGGUUUGACGAAAGCAACGCUGUCUCUUUUUUAUUCUCAAGAACUUAACUUUUAGGUGAAGAGGCCUAAAUUUUAUUGAAGGACAAGAAGACCCUGUCGAGCUUAAAAGACAUUAUAGAAGUCUAUAUAUCUUUAAAUAAAUUUCCUAUUAAGCUUUUUAGUUGGGGCGACUGAGGAACAAAAAAAGCUUCUUAUUAUUAAUAAACAGUUAUGUUUAGAUCCGAUAACAAUCGAUUAAAAAAAUUAGUUACCGCAGGGAUAACAGCAUAAUCUCUCUUGAGAGACCUAAUCGAAAGAGGGGGUUGUGACCUCGAUGUUGGACUAGAAUAUCCCAAAGAUGCAGAAGUCUUUAAGGGUUGGUCUGUUCGACCAUUAAAAUUCUACGUGAUCUG
rnacentral:rRNA from 1 species